rnacentral:rRNA from 1 species
AACAUGUGGGUAUCUACCCUUUGGCCUGGAAUAACACGAGGAAACUUGUGCUAAUACCGGAUAAGUCUUUACGGAGAAAGCUUUAUGCACCAUUGGAUGAGCCCGCACUUGAUUAGUUUGUUGGUAGGGUAAUGGCCUACCAAGACUAUGAUCAAUAGCUGAUUUGAGAGGAUGAUCAGCCACAUUGGGACUGAGACACGGCCCAAACUCCUACGGGAGGCAGCAGUGGGGAAUCUUGCACAAUGGAGGAAACUCUGAUGCAGCGAUGCCGCGUGAGUGAAGAAGGCCCUUGGGUUGUAAAGCUCUUUCGUCGGGGAAGAAAAUGACUGUACCCGAAUAAGA